rnacentral:rRNA from 1 species
AGAGUUUGAUCCUGGCUCAGGAUGAACGCUAGCGACAGGCUUAACACAUGCAAGUCGAGGGGCAGCAUAGAAGUAGCAAUACUUUGGUGGCGACCGGCGCACGGGUGAGUAACGCGUAUGCAACCUACCUAUCAGAGGGGAAUAACCCGGCGAAAGUCGGACUAAUACCGCAUAAAACAUGGGCACCGCAUGGUGAUAUUUGUUAAAGAAAUUCGCUGAUAGAUGGGCAUGCGUUCCAUUAGGUAGUUGGUGAGGUAACGGCUCACCAAGCCGACGAUGGAUAGGGGAACUGAGAGGUUGGUCCCCCACACUGGUACUGAGACACGGACCAGACUCCUACGGGAGGCAGCAGUGAGGAAUAUUGGUCAAUGGGCGAGAGCCUGAACCAGCCAAGUCGCGUGAAGGAAGAAGGAUCUAUGGUUCGUAAACUUCUCUUGCAGGGGAACAAAGUGCAGGACGUGUCCUGUUUUGUAUGUACCCUGAGAAUAAGGAUCGGCUAACUCCGUGCCAGCAGCCGCGGUAAUACGGAGGAUCCGAGCGUUAUCCGGAUUUAUUGGGUUUAAAGGGUGCGUAGGUGGUUUGAUAAGUCAGCGGUGAAAGUUUGCAGCUUAACUGUAAAAAUGCCGUUGAAACUGUCGGACUUGAGUGUAAAUGAGGUAGGCGGAAUGCGUGGUGUAGCGGUGAAAUGCAUAGAUAUCACGCAGAACUCCGAUUGCGAAGGCAGCUUACUAAGCUACAACUGACACUGAAGCACGAAAGCGUGGGGAUCAAACAGGAUUAGAUACCCUGGUAGUCG